UAGAGUUUGAUCCUGGCUCAGGAUGAACGCUUUUGGCGUGCUUAACACAUGCAAGUCGAACGAUUAACCCGCCCUCGGGCGGUUAUAGAGUGGCGAACGGGUGAGUAACACGUGACCAACCUGCCCCUUGCUCCGGGACAACCCAGGGAAACCUCGGCUAAUACCGGAUACUCCGCGCAGCCCGCAUGGGAGGCGCGGGAAAGCCCAGACGGCAAGGGAUGGGGUCGCGGCCCAUUAGGUAGACGGCGGGGUAACGGCCCACCGUGCCCGCGAUGGGUAGCCGGGUUGAGAGACCGAUCGGCCACAUUGGGACUGAGAUACGGCCCAGACUCCUACGGGAGGCAGCAGUGGGGAAUUUUGCGCAAUGGGGGAAACCCUGACGCAGCAACGCCGCGUGCGGGACGAAGGCCUUCGGGUUGUAAACCGCUUUCAGCAGGGAAUAUAGUGAAGGUACCUGCAGAAGAAGCUCCGGCUAACUACGUGCCAGCAGCCGCGGUAAUACGUAGGUGGCAAGCGUUGUCCGGAAUUACUGGGUGUAAAGGGAGCGCAGGCGCAAGGACAAGUUGGAAGUGAAACCCACGGGCUCAACUCGUGAACUGCUUUCAAAACUGUUUUUCCUUGAGUGGUGGUAGAGGUAGGCGGAAUUCCCCGGUGUAACCGGUGGAAUGUCUUAGAUAACGCGGAGGAACACCAGUGGCGAAGGCGGCCUCUGGGCCACUAACUGACGCUGAGGCUCGAAAGCAUGGGUAGCAAACAGGAUUAGAUACCCUGGUAGUCCAUGCCGUAAACGAUGAUUACUAGGUGUGGGAGGAUUGACCCCUUCCGUGCCGCAGUUAACACAAUAAGUAAUCCACCUGGGGAGUACGACCGCAAGGUUGAAACUCAAAGGAAUUGACGGGGGCCCGCACAAGCAGUGGAGUAUGUGGUUUAAUUCGAAGCAACGCGAAGAACCUUACCAGGUCUUGACAUCGGAUACAUAGCUAAGAGAUUAGUGAAGCCCUUCGGGGCAUCCAGACAGGUGGUGCAUGGUUGUCGUCAGCUCGUGUCGUGAGAUGUUGGGUUAAGUCCCGCAACGAGCGCAACCCUUACUGUUAGUUACUACGCAAGAGGACUCUAGCAGGACUGCCGUUGACAAAACGGAGGAAGGUGGGGAUGACGUCAAAUCAUCAUGCCCUUUAUGACCUGGGCUACACACGUACUACAAUGGCGCUAAACAAAGAGAAGCGAAGCCGCGAGGUGGAGCAAACCUCAAAAACAACGUCCCAGUUCAGACUGCAGGCUGCAACUCGCCUGCACGAAGUCGGAAUUGCUAGUAAUCGCGGAUCAGCAUGCCGCGGUGAAUACGUUCCCGGGCCUUGCACUCACCGCCCGUCA
rnacentral:rRNA from 1 species